rnacentral:rRNA from 1 species
UACGAAGGGGGCUAGCGUUGUUCGGAUUUACUGGGCGUAAAGGGCGCGUAGGCGGAUUAACAAGUCAGAGGUGAAAGCCCUGGGCUCAACCCGGGAAUUGCCUUUGGGACUGUUAGUCUUGAGUUCGGAAGAGGAUGGCGGAAUACCCAGUGUAGAGGUGAAAUUCGUAGAUAUUGGGUAGAACACCGGUGGCGAAGGCGGCCAUCUGGUCCGACACUGACGCUGAGGCGCGAAAGCGUGGGGAGCAAACAGG